GACGAACGCUGGCGGCGUGCUUAACACAUGCAAGUCGAACGAUGAAGCUAGAGCUUGCUCUGGUGAAUUAGUGGCGAACGGGUGAGUAACACGUGAGUAACCUGCCCCGAACUCUGGGAUAACUGCUGGAAACGGUAGCUAAUACUGGAUACGACCUACGAAGGCAUCUUCUGUAGGUGGAAAGAAUUUCGGUUCGGGAUGGACUCGCGGCCUAUCAGCUUGUUGGUGAGGUAAUGGCUCACCAAGGCGACGACGGGUAGCCGGCCUGAGAGGGUGACCCGCCACACGGGGACUGGGACACGGCCCAGACUCCUACGGGAGGCAGCAGUGGGGAAUAUUGCACAAUGGGCGCAAGCCUGAUGCAGCAACGCCGCGUGAGGGAUGACGGCCUUCGGGUUGUAAACCUCUUUUAGUAGGGAAGAAGCGAAAGUGACGGUACCUGCAGAAAAAGCACCGGCUAACUACGUGCCAGCCGCUGCCGUAA
rnacentral:rRNA from 1 species